rnacentral:lncRNA from 1 species
GAGGGGGUGGCGUGUGAGUGCGUGGAGGGUAAAAGCCAGUCAGUCAGUGAGAAGCAAAGAUCAACCACCUCAGAAGAGCCAGAUUCCACUUCUGUGGCCAGGACUUUUAUAUUAUGGCUGGUCCGAUUGUUUUACCCUGCGUUCUAUGCUACUAAACCUUGGAUCAUUCCUAAAGUACAAAUUCUGUUCUCGAACCACAAACAAGGCUAAAAGAUCGGAGGAAAUUCAGUGAAUAUACAGGAUUGGGGUGUCUGAUGAUUUGUGAGCCUCAAGUGACUACUCUGUGGAAUCAUCUGUCCUUGCCUUUGAAUUCGCUUUCCCUAGGCCAUGGGUCAACAUUAGUAGUUUAUACAUCCAAAUUGAUGACAAGAGCACCUCAAAGGCAGCAGCCUCAAGGAGCAGCCAUGGCCCCAGACUUGUCGCACGGAUGCAGAAAACUUAAUGGAGGAGGCUGAGCAAAACAGAGCGUGACACU